rnacentral:rRNA from 1 species
AGGACGAACGCUGGCGGCGUGCUUAACACAUGCAAGUCGAGCGAGAGAAAUUCCUUCGGGAAGGACUCUAGCGGCGGACGGGUGAGUAACACGUGGGUAACCUGCCUCAUAGAGGGGAAUAGCCUUCCGAAAGGAAGAUUAAUACCGCAUAAGAUUGUAGUUUCGCAUGAAACAGCAAUUAAAGGAGUAAUCCGCUAUGAGAUGGACCCGCGUCGCAUUAGCUAGUUGGUGAGGUAACGGCUCACCAAGGCGACGAUCCGUAGCUGGUCUGAGAGGACGACCAGCCACACUGGGACUGAGACACGGCCCAGACUCCUACGGGAGGCAGCAGUGGGGAAUAUUGGACAAUGGGGGCAACCCUGAUCCAGCGACGCCGCGUGUGUGAAGAAGGCCUGCGGGUUGUAAAGCACUUUUAGUGGGGAUGAAAAGCACAUCGCUAAUACCGGUGUGUCUUGACCUAACCCAAAGAAAAAGCACCGGCUAACUCUGUGCCAGCAGCCGCGGUAAUACGUAGGUGGCAAGCGUUGUCCGGAUUUACUGGGCGUAAAGGGAGCGUAGGUGGAUAUUUAAGUGGGAUGUGAAAUACUCGGGCUUAACCUGAGUGCUGCAUUCCAAACUGGAUAUCUAGAGUGCAGGAGAGGAAAGUAGAAUUCCUAGUGUAGCGGUGAAAUGCGUAGAGAUUAGGAAGAAUACCAGUGGCGAAGGCGACUUUCUGGACUGUAACUGACACUGAGGCUCGAAAGCGUGGGGAGCAAACAGGAUUAGAUACCUCUGGUAGUCCACGUCUGUAAACGAUGAAUACUAGUGUGGGGGUUGUCAUGACCUCCGUGCCGCUCGCUAACGCAUUAAGUAUC